rnacentral:rRNA from 1 species
GACGAACGCUGGCGGCGUGCUUAACACAUGCAAGUCGAACGGAAAGGCCCUGCUUUUGUGGGGUGCUCGAGUGGCGAACGGGUGAGUAACACGUGAGUAACCUGCCCUUGACUUUGGGAUAACUUCAGGAAACUGGGGCUAAUACCGGAUAGGAGCUCCUGCUGCAUGGUGGGGGUUGGAAAGUUUCGGCGGUUGGGGAUGGACUCGCGGCUUAUCAGCUUGUUGGUGGGGUAGUGGCUUACCAAGGCUUUGACGGGUAGCCGGCCUGAGAGGGUGACCGGCCACAUUGGGACUGAGAUACGGCCCAGACUCCUACGGGAGGCAGCAGUGGGGAAUAUUGCACAAUGGGCGGAAGCCUGAUGCAGCAACGCCGCGUGCGGGAUGACGGCCUACGGGUUGUAAACCGAUUUCGCAUGUGACGAAGCGUGAGUGACGGUAAUGGGUAAAGAAGCCACGGCUAACUACGUG